UACGUAGGGUGCGAGCGUUGUCCGGAAUUACUGGGCGUAAAGAGCUCGUAGGUGGUUUGUCGCGUUGUUCGUGAAAUCUCACGGCUUAACUGUGAGCGUGCGGGCGAUACGGGCAGACUGGAGUACUGCAGGGGAGACUGGAAUUCCUGGUGUAGCGGUGGAAUGCGCAGAUAUCAGGAGGAACACCGGUGGCGAAGGCAGAUCUCUGGGCCGUAACUGACGCUGAGGAGCGAAAAGCAUGGGGGAGCGAACAGG
rnacentral:rRNA from 1 species